AGACCCGAAACCCGGUGAUCUAGCCAUGGGCAGGUUGAAGGUUGGGUAACACUAACUGGAGGACCGAACCGACUAAUGUUGAAAAAUUAGCGGAUGACCUGUGGCUGGGGGUGAAAGGCCAAUCAAACCGGGAGAUAGCUGGUUCUCCCCGAAAGCUAUUUAGGUAGCGCCUCGUGAAUUCAUCUCCGGGGGUAGAGCACUGUUUCGGCUAGGGGGCCAUCCCGGCUUACCAACCCGAUGCAAACUGCGAAUACCGGAGAAUGUUAUCACGGGAGACACACGGCGGGUGCUAACGUCCGUCGUGAAGAGGGAAACAACCCAGACCGCCAGCUAAGGUCCCAAAGUCAUGGUUAAGUGGGAAACGAUGUGGGAAGGCCCAGACAGCCAGGAUGUUGGCUUAGAAGCAGCCAUCAUUUAAAGAAAGCGUAAUAGCUCACUGGUCGAGUCGGCCUGCGCGGAAGAUGUAACGGGGCUAAACCAUGCACCGAAGCUGCGGCAGCGACACUGUGUGUUGUUGGGUAGGGGAGCGUUCUGUAAGCCUGUGAAGGUGUGUCGUGAGGCAUGCUGGAGGUAUCAGAAGUGCGAAUGCUGACAUAAGUAACGAUAAAGCGGGUGAAAAGCCCGCUCGCCGGAAGACCAAGGGUUCCUGUCCAACGUUAAUCGGGGCAGGGUGAGUCGACCCCUAAGGCGAGGCCGAAAGGCGUAGUCGAUGGGAAACGGGUUAAUAUUCCCGUACUUGGUGUUACUGCGAAGGGGGGACGGAGAAGGCUAUGUUGGCCGGGCGACGGUUGUCCCGGUUUAAGCGUGUAGGUGUGUGUUCUAGGUAAAUCCGGUUCACUUUAACACUGAGGCGUGACGACGAGGCACUACGGUGCUGAAGCAACAAAUGCCCUGCUUCCAGGAAAAGCCUCUAAGCAUCAGGUAACAUCAAAUCGUACCCCAAACCGACACAGGUGGUCAGGUAGAGAAUACCAAGGCGCUUGAGAGAACUCGGGUGAAGGAACUAGGCAAAAUGGUGCCGUAACUUCGGGAGAAGGCACGCUGACACGUAGGUGAAGUGAUUUACUCAUGGAGCUGAAGUCAGUCGAAGAUACCAGCUGGCUGCAACUGUUUAUUAAAAACACAGCACUGUGCAAACACGAAAGUGGACGUAUACGGUGUGACGCCUGCCCGGUGCCGGAAGGUUAAUUGAUGGGGUCAGCGCAAGCGAAGCUCCUGAUCGAAGCCCCGGUAAACGGCGGCCGUAACUAUAACGGUCCUAAGGUAGCGAAAUUCCUUGUCGGGUAAGUUCCGACCUGCACGAAUGGCGUAAUGAUGGCCAGGCUGUCUCCACCCGAGACUCAGUGAAAUUGAACUCGCUGUGAAGAUGCAGUGUACCCGCGGCAAGACGGAAAGACCCCGUGAACCUUUACUAUAGCUUGACACUGAACAUUGAGCCUUGAUGUGUAGGAUAGGUGGGAGGCUUUGAAGUGUGGACGCCAGUCUGCAUGGAGCCGACCUUGAAAUACCACCCUUUAAUGUUUGAUGUUCUAACGUGGACCCGUUACCCGGGUUGCGGACAGUGUCUGGUGGGUAGUUUGACUGGGGCGGUCUCCUCCUAAAGAGUAACGGAGGAGCACGAAGGUUGGCUAAUCCUGGUCGGACAUCAGGAGGUUAGUGCAAUGGCAUAAGCCAGCUUGACUGCGAGCGUGACGGCGCGAGCAGGUGCGAAAGCAGGUCAUAGUGAUCCGGUGGUUCUGAAUGGAAGGGCCAUCGCUCAACGGAUAAAAGGUACUCCGGGGAUAACAGGCUGAUACCGCCCAAGAGUUCAUAUCGACGGCGGUGUUUGGCACCUCGAUGUCGGCUCAUCACAUCCUGGGGCUGAAGUAGGUCCCAAGGGUAUGGCUGUUCGCCAUUUAAAGUGGUACGCGAGCUGGGUUUAGAACGUCGUGAGACAGUUCGGUCCCUAUCUGCCGUGGGCGCUGGAGAACUGAGGGGGGCUGCUCCUAGUACGAGAGGACCGGAGUGGACGCAUCACUGGUGUUCGGGUUGUCAUGCCAAUGGCACUGCCCGGUAGCUAAAUGCGGAAGAGAUAAGUGCUGAAAGCAUCUAAGCACGAAACUUGCCCCGAGAUGAGUUCUCCCUGAGACUUAGAGUCUCCUGAAGGAACGUUGAAGACGACGACGUUGAUAGGCCGGGUGUGUAAGCGCAGCGAUGCGUUGAGCUAACCGGUACUAAUGAACCGUGAGGCUUAACCUUACAACGCCG
rnacentral:rRNA from 1 species